GGGGCCCGCACAAGCGGUGGAGCAUGUGGUUUAAUUCGAUGCAACGCGAAGAACCUUACCUGGUCUUGACAUCCACAGAACUUUCCAGAGAUGGAUUGGUGCCUUCGGGAACUGUGAGACAGGUGCUGCAUGGCUGUCGUCAGCUCGUGUUGUGAAAUGUUGGGUUAAGUCCCGCAACGAGCGCAACCCUUAUCCUUUGUUGCCAGCGGUCCGGCCGGGAACUCAAAGGAGACUGCCAGUGAUAAACUGGAGGAAGGUGGGGAUGACGUCAAGUCAUCAUGGCCCUUACGACCAGGGCUACACACGUGCUACAAUGGCGCAUACAAAGAGAAGCGACCUCGCGAGAGCAAGCGGACCUCAUAAAGUGCGUCGUAGUCCGGAUUGGAGUCUGCAACUCGACUCCAUGAAGUCGGAAUCGCUAGUAAUCGUGGAUCAGAAUGCCACGGUGAAUACGUUCCCGGGCCUUGUACACACCGCCCGUCACACCAUGGGAGUGGGUUGCAAAAGA
rnacentral:rRNA from 1 species